UACGUAGGGUCCGAGCGUUGUCCGGAAUUAUUGGGCGUAAAGAGCUCGUAGGCGGUUUGUCGCGUCUGCUGUGAAAUCUAGAGGCUCAACCUCUAGCGUGCAGUGGGUACGGGCAGACUAGAGUGAUGUAGGGGAGACUGGAAUUCCUGGUGUAGCGGUGAAAUGCGCAGAUAUCAGGAGGAACACCGAUGGCGAAGGCAGGUCUCUGAGCAUUAACUGACGCUGAGGAGCGAAAGCAUGGGGAGCGAACAGG
rnacentral:rRNA from 1 species